ACGGGUGAGUAACGCGUAGGAACGUGUCCAGAGGUGGGGGACAACCCCGGGAAACUGGGGCUAAUACCGCAUAGGGGCUGAGGCCCAAAGCCGAAAGGCGCCUUUGGAGCGGCCUGCGUCCGAUUAGGUAGUUGGUGGGGUAAAGGCCUACCAAGCCUGCGAUCGGUAGCUGGUCUGAGAGGACGACCAGCCACACUGGGACUGAGACACGGCCCAGACUCCUACGGGAGGCAGCAGUGGGGAAUAUUGGACAAUGGGCGAAAGCCUGAUCCAGCAAUGCCGCGUGGGUGAAGAAGGUCUUCGGAUCGUAAAGCCCUUUCGACGGGGACGAUGAUGACGGUACCCGUAGAAGAAGCCCCGGCUAACUUCGAGCCAGCAGCCGCGGUAAUACGAAGGGGGCUAGCGUUGCUCGGAAUUACUGGGCGUAAAGGGCGCGUAGGCGGCGGCCCAAGUCAGGCGUGAAAUUCCUGGGCUCAACCUGGGGACUGCGCUUGAUACUGGGUUGCUUGAGGAUGGAAGAGGCUCGUGGAAUUCCCAGUGUAGAGGUGUAAUUCGUAGA
rnacentral:rRNA from 1 species